AUCUUUUUAGUACAGUCUUAGUACUGAUGGCUUCCAACCACCCAGCCUUGGUUAAAAUCCAAGAAAAGAUA